CUCCAGAUGUUGCUGAACUACAACUCCCAUGAUUCUAAGCCUAUUAUUUCAUUCAUAGAAUCAUGGGAGUUGUAGUUCAGCAACAUCUGGAG
rnacentral:miRNA from 1 species